AUCCAGCUGACGAGUCCCAAAUGGGACGAAACGUGAGUGAAACUGUAU
rfam:Schistosoma mattheei strain Denwood, Zambia genome assembly, scaffold: SMTD_scaffold0018166